rnacentral:ncRNA from 22 species
UGAUUUGAAAUGAACAAUGCCUGUAGGGUUAUCAGAAUAAAAACAGGUAUAAACUACCUUGAUACCGGAAUAAAACGAUCGGGAAAGCGGUGCCAUAAUCCGUACCGCCUUACCAACCUCAGUCAAAAGUAUAAGUUUUCUUAUUUCACAACUCAUUGGGCAAUAGCCCAGCAUUCCCUGUCGAAAUGCAGAUUAAAUAUGUCAUUAUCACAGGCCAAUGGGAGGUGUUUCACGAAAACCGGGAAAAGCGAAUUUCUGCCUUAUAAACACCGGAAUACAGACCAUUAGCGCCCGAUUUCGAAUAGGUAAAUCCCUACUUUCCAUGACAUAAAUAAAGGACAAAACGCCGAGCCAUCAGUAUGACGGCACAGCGUUUUGUGUUACUGCCUACAUGCAGGUUAAUGCUGUAACGAACGACUUUAAUUC